GGUGUGGUCUCGUACAUGCUACCCUAUUAAAAGGAGCUCUGAAUUCGUCAGCUCUUCAGCUGCAGAAUCUGAUCUGCACUCAAGCAUAUCCAGCAACUUAGGAAAACACAAGUUGCACUUCAACAUCACUGCUUAGCUACUGAAGACUUCAUUAAAAAUGGGGAACAAUGUACCAAAAGAGAGUAACAUGGGCGACCGGCUGAGGUGCAUCAAAUGUAAUAAAAUCCUGCCUCCAUGCAGAUCUUACUCACAUUUAUACCAAACUACUAUUCAUGGGCGGAAUGUGCAUGUUUUCAAUGGAGGAGAAUACUACAGACCAAUUGGCCACAAUGAGUUAUACCAGUGUAAUGAUUGUUUUUAUAAACCAAUCAGAGAUCAAGAGGAAGUAAGGAAAAGAGAGGAGGAGAGGAGAAGAGAAGAAGAGAGAAAAAGAGAAGAGGAGAGGAAAAGAGAAGAGGAGAGACAGAGAGAGGAGAAGAGAAGAGAAAAGGAACAAAAGAUGGAAAAACAAAAAGAGGCAAAAGAGGCUGAAGAGAAGAGGAGAGAAGAAGAACUGAAUCAAAGACUCAAAGAAUCAAAACAGAGAGCUAAAGAGCAGCGGCAGAAUCAACUGAGUAUCGACAUUUCAGAGGAACAAGAGUCCAGGCGACACGUACUAAUCAGUCACCUGGAUGAGUUUGAGGCAAUCUAUGACUCAGACAGUGAUGGGCUUCUAGAAAUCCUCUCAUCAAAAUGUAGCAUCAACAUUCAUAAUGUUAGUCUCGCUCAGCUGACUGCUGAUCAGCUGGGAAACAUCCUGUCAGCCCUGGACAAACUCCUGUUUGAUGAAUGGAUCAGUGCUCUUCCAUCCCGUAGCACUCUGCAGCACUCACAGGUGUUCAUCACUGAGCUGUGUGUCCUGUCUCUGGAGAUGUCUGAGGGACUUUCUCUGCAAGGCUUCUCCAAUCAUCUGCAGUCCCCUGGUGGAGUCCAUCAGCCAAUCAGCAAGCAAUGUUUCUGAGAGUUUCCUGCUGACUCAAGCCCUGUACCUGAACCUGAUGCACUUCUUCACUGACCGCAGCACCUGUGAUUCUGAUGCAGCUCUCAUAGCCAAACAAUGGGCUGAGGGGGACCUUUCCACUGAGGAUCUCUUUAUCAUAGACUUCCUCGGCACCCUCACAUUGCAUCACUACAGAACGUGGUUGGAAGAGCCUCAGUGUUCAUUUUAAAGAUGGAAAUCCAGUGUCUGAAGCUUCUUCUGUUCACACUCACUCAUCUAAAUGGCAAAGAGAGACCCUCAGAAUCCACUGAAAGGAUUCUCAGACUUGUGCAAACAAACCAAUGGACACCAACAGAGGCACUGACUCUGCUCAGAGCACUGUCAGAGAAAUAUGAAGAGGAUGCUCCAAUAACUGAAGUGCUCACAACGGUACAAGUGUACGACAUAUCACCAGACUGGACAGAUGACUCCGGACUCUCUCUCAUCCAGGCUCUGGACAUCAGUGGCCCUGAGAGAUUCCAACAUGACUUCCAAAAAACUCUCAGAGAGCAAGAUGUGCGCAGUCUAGAUUCAGCUCUACAAGAACUGAAAAUGUUAAGGAAUUUGGAACGAUUCUGUCGUUGAUAUGAUAAAGAACAUUACCACUGGCAUCCUACAAUAUUCAGAAAAUGCUCCAAAAGAUAAACCAUUCAUGAAAGAUUCCUUUAAAUGUGCAAACCUGAACACAGAUGACAUUCAAAACUCUCUGUCUCAGCUCUGCAGAGCAGUUUCUGACACAAAAGGCUGGAGGCCCACAGUGCAGCAGAUGCUGAGGUGGUGUGUGCUGGUGCUGACUGAGAAGAAUAAAGCACUAGAGUUGGUUGGUGAGGAAGAGGACCCAUGUAUCAGAGCCAUGUUUGCAGCCACACAAGUCUGCAUGGGGAACAAACUGGACAUUGUACUCGGCUCUGACGUUCACUCACAUGAACAAACUAUGGAGUGGUCUGACUUCUACAAGCACCUUGGAAUUUCUGUCAACACAAACAUGAAGAAAACUAACGCACUACAGGAGGAUGUCUAUGAAGCAGACAUUGUGUAUGGUACCAUGGAUGACUUUGUCUCCGAUUACUUUCAAUAUGGCUUGGAGGUGAUGGAAACAGGGAAACCUUCCCUUAGCCGAGGAUUCAUCAUUGAACAGAGAAGUCUCAGUGCUUCCCAUGACCUGGAACUGUCAAGGCUCAAGGAAAAUGAUGCCUUGGUGUUUGCUGCAGAGAUCCUGCAAAGCCUCAUGGGUAAUUUUCACACAGGGGAUAUGGAGCUGAGACACAGGUUUAUUAAGGCUCUUUUUCAGGUGCUCUACACUAACCUAAACAAACGUGCAGACACUGACAGUAAAAUCAUAACUAUCUUACAAAAAUGUACUGGGAAAGAACUGCCUCCCAAUGAAGUCUACACUCUGACCAUUCUUGAGAAUCUCCUUAAAGAGUUUACUGGAGAAAGUGAGAAAAACAGAGCGUCUCUGGGAGGCAAACUGUGUUUGGAGAGUUUAUUUGCCUGUGCAGUGGAAUUCCAAGACUCAAAAAAACAAAUCAAAGAACUAUUCCAGAUGGUGUCAAAUCUGGUAGCACAACAACUCUGGUCACCAGUAGAAGCUUUAAACCUCCUUGGUGUGUUGACUGACCACCAUCACACUGAAGACUGUGUUUCCAUCAUGAAGAUUUUACAUUUGAUAGAAACAUAUCAGGUGUCUUCUGAGUGGACAGAUGAGAAGAGCAAGUCUCUCCUUCAGCUUUUGAACUCAUCUGAAACUGAGAAUGUGAUCCAGCAUUUAGAAAAAAGCUUCAGAGGUGAGAAAGACAAAAGCGUUGAGUGUCUCUUUGAUGAAAUACGGCAGAUGAAAAACAUUGAUGAACAAACACUGGAGAAAUCAUACUCUAUAGUAAAUACUGUCAAGGAGCUCAUUAAAUCUGGUGAAAUUAAAAACCACACAGAUGUACAGCAAGCUAGGAAUCGGAGUCAGAGCACAGAUACAGAAGACCUUCAGGAGAUCCUGGCAGUCUUAUGCAAUGCUGUACACCAGUGCAAUGCUAAAGGGAAGUGGUGGCCCAGAGCCACUCAGAUGAUAAGCUGGUGCCUCUUGGCCUUGUCUGACACUGGAAAGCUCCUGGAGAUGGGAACUGGAGAAGGGAAGUCUUGCGUCAUUGCAAUGUUUGCUGUGCUGCGUGCACUUAGGGGUGAAAAAGUGGAUGUGGUGUCCAGCUCCUCCGUGUUAUGUCAAAGAGAUGCAGAAGAAUGGGCCGACUUCUACAAAUACUUUGGCUUCACAGUUGACACAAACACAGAUAAAACCAAAGAUGCAGAGAGAAAACAAUGCUACCAGAAGGACGUGGUCUACGGAACAAUCGAAGCCUUCGCUGCAGAUCACCUUCGCCAGAUAUUUGAGAUGAAGGAUGUGAGGACUGAUCGCAGCUUUCAGUGCAUCAUCAUCGAUGAGGUGGACUCACUGCUGCUGGAUCAGGGAGUACAGAUGACUUACCUCUCCAGUCCCAUGGUCUCCAUGCAGCACCUGAACAUUAUUCUGGCGAUGAUCUGGAGCCAUGUCAGCCAGUAUGGCUUCCUGUCAACAGGACACCGGACAUUUGUCCAGGGCCCCCCUGCUUCAUUCUUCAAGGCCAUUUUUGAUUCAAUUGACACAGAAGAAAUUAAUGACCCCAUGGAUAUUUUACGUAUUGCUGAAGAAUCAAAGAUUGUGCCAGAAGGAUUUACCGAGGACAUCUACAAAAGUGAAAAAGAUGAACUUCUCAGGAAACUGAAAACUGUGAGUCAAGAUGCAAUGGUGGAUUUCUUCCAAGAAAUCGAGGACUAUGUCCCCUAUGGUUUUAGUGUAUACACUUUAGAUGAAAAUGGCCUGCUCUGUCUUAGAAAGGCCAGCACAUACAACAACCAGGACAUUCCAGAGCUUGCAUUUCUUGUUUUGGAGGAAGGCUUGUGUUGUCCUCUUUAUGACUCUGAAGAGAUCAUUGUCAAGCCCAUUGCAGAUUUCAUCUCUGAGAAGAUUCAGUACACCCCAUGCACAAACAAUAAAGACAAAAUCAGCAUCCCUGGAUUCCUGAGAAAUCUGAUAGAGAAGAAAUUGUCAGUGUGGGUUCAGAAUGCCUUUCUGGCAAUGAGACUGAGGCAAGGACGGGAGUAUGUUGUGGAGAAUGACAGUGUCUGUCCAGUGGACUUCAGAUCCACUGGUAUCGUGGAACUGAGUAAGAAAUGGGGUGAUGGUCUGCAGCAGUUCGUUGAGAUCAAACACCAAGUCAAACUGAGCACAAUUUCCACUGUGACGAACUACAUUUCUAACAUUUCCUUCUUUGAAAAAUACCAUGGGAAAAUAUAUGGAACAACAGGGACACUUGGGACUGAAACAGACAUGCUGUUUUUGCAGGAAUUAUAUCCAAAUCUCUCGGCCUGCAACAUGCCAACUUUCAACAGGAAGAAGUUGUUUGAGGUCAAAGGUACUCUGAAGACUUCAACUGAAGAGUGGAAAUCUGAAAUAAAACGUGUGGUUAUGGCUCAGAUUUCCCCAAAUUCAUACAGAGAGGGAAGAGCAGCCUUGGUGAUCUGUGAAACUAUAAACACAGCCAAAGAGCUCUAUGAAGAGCUGAAGAGCAUCAUCCCAGGUAAAAUCAUUCUCUACAUCCGCAGUGACAAAGACAGUUUGAGCAAAAUAGAUGAGGUACUGAAUCCUGGUGACGUCAUUGUUGCCACAAACCUUGCUGGGCGUGGCACGAAUAUUAAGGUCUCUGACAAGGUGAACAACAAUGGGGGACUAUUUGUGAUCCUUUCCUUCCUUUCUGAGAACACAAGAGUGGAACGCCAGGCAUUUGGCCGAACUGCACGCAAAGGUAAACCUGGAUCUGCACAGGUAAUCAUGACCACUGAUCAUCUGGAGGAGUCCUUUAAGACAGUGUCAUCUCUGGAGGAGGCAAAGGAAACAAGGGACAGACUUGCAGUAAAAAGGAUAAAUGACACAAUGAACGAUGUCACUGAGAUGAAACUGCGAGAGGACCUGUUCUCAGAGUACUGCAAGACCCUUCAGGACAUUUACAGGAACACAGAUGGAGAUGAAGAAAGAGCUGUUGUUGCCAUCAUGAAUGAGUUCUGGGGGAUUUGGUUGCAAACUAAAUCAGAAGAAAUUGACCAGUUGAAGAGAAAUGAAUUGCAGGACAGUUUGAGAGCUGAUUUGCUUCAGGCAAAAAGUCAGUCUCAAAGUCAGACUUCACCGUGUUCUAGCAUUUACCACUACAUCAAGUUUGGGAAUAUCGCACUAGAUGAAAAACAGUGGGAUAUCAGCAUGAAGCUAUUUGAGAAAGCUAUGGCACAAGAUGAAAGUUGGGUAGCCAUAGCCUUUUACAGUCAUGCAUACUGCACUAUAAAGCAGAAGAAGGAAAAUUACCUCACUAAGGCCAGAGAUGAUCUCAGGAAAGCUCAGGAGUCUCUGAAGUACCUCAGUGAGGAAUGCAUGGUCUGCCUCCAGUUUGUAAAAAUGUCCUCUUCUCAAUCAGCUGAUGGGAACGCAACCAGCCUGGAGAAACAGCUAACAACCAGGUGCAAGAUGUUAGGUUUCUUUGAUAAAAACAUUAGCGAGGCUAUCAAAAAGCUGGAGGAGAUAAAAGACAAGGAUGGAGGAGCAAUAGCCAAUAAAUCACCCACGUUCUCCCUGGUGUCAGGCGCAGAUGACGAUCUCCAAGUGGAGGCCUACAAUCUGUACAGUCGAGGUCUGAAAUAUGUCUUUGCUGUGGAAGAGGAGCCUCGUUUCCCAUGGGGAGCUCUGGCAGUGUUCUUUUUAGGGGUUCUGCAGAUUAUUGGAGGAGCAUUGCUCACUGCAUUUACGUGUGGAACAUUAGCUCAAGUCGGCAUAGGGCUGAUCACUGAAGGAAUAUCAGACUGUAUUACUGGCAUUGUGUCCAUGGUGACUGGAGAAUUUAGCUGGAAAUCUUGGGCUACAGAAAAAGCCAUUUCUAUUGGUGUAUCUCUCAUUGGGUUUGGUGUUGGAAAAGUGAUUGCAAAAGGCUUCAAAGCAUCUAAACUAUUGAUUAACAGACUUGGAAAAGAACUGAAGUCAAUGCCAAAGUUUCUCUCCAAACAGGCUAAAGAUGGACUUAGUGCUGUUACAAAGACAAAUAUGAAAAAUGUAGUGAAACACACCGCAAAGGGAAUGGUAGAAAGCAGCAUUACCUAUGGAUUUGGGAAGGCAGAAGCGGCAUUACUGAAAGAAAUACUCAGUGGCAUUAAGGAUGAGGUGAAAAAGGGAAUUGUAAAUGAUGUGAAGUCCAACAUGGAAAAAGAAUCCAUGGCUGCAUUAGUAGACUCCAUUAUACUCUCACACCUUGAGGAUAAACAACAACUUCCUGAUCUCAUGCAGGACAAGAAGAGAAAGAAUGAACUUCUGGCUGUUUUCAAAAAAAUAAGCAAGACUGCAUUACAGCCAUUCCAUGCCGACCUCAGCUGGCAGAACAAACUUAACUCUUCCAUCUCCACAGUGAUUAACAGAGCUAAGUCAGAGGCCAAAGGCAAAACACACGCAAUUUUGACAGCCAUCCAAACCCUUCACAUGGGGUCACUGGCAGCAGAUGCCAUAAGUACAGUACACAGCCUCUCAAACAAGUUUUUUUCAAAGCUUGAUGAAGAGCUGAAUAAAUUUAAAAAGGAAAAUAAUUUCAUAGAGAAAGUGAAGCGAGAUGAUCUGUCUGAUUCAGAAACUGUGAUGCUGAAAGAAUUCAAACAAGAUUUAGCCAACACCAUCAGUGCUUUAUUAGCCGACGCUCUGGUAGAAGUGUUCCACCAAAAGUUCUCCAGUCACAUUGUUUCUUAUGCCCAAAAUCAAGUAAAUGGCAUCAUAGGCAAUUAUGUAAGAACUGGCUUAAAGAGUGACAGAACAGAGGAAAAACUCAGAGCUGGACAAAACAACAGAUACAUUGCAUACAUGUCAGCAGACGUGAAUUCAAAACAUAAAGUUGCAGGUAAACAGUCACAGUCACACGCUGAAAAGAUCAAGAAUCCCACGACAGCAGGGACCAUUCUGGAUAUCAGAGUCCUGUCAGAAACCACUGGCACUAAGGUUGUCAUCCUAACAGAGGGCAGCCAUGGCAAGCUUACCAAAAUGCAGGAGCUGAAUCCAGGCACUAAACCUGCCAGUCAAACUGUAACACUGAUCUACAGACCAAAGAGUUCCCAAUACCCAGACGGCCAUUACGAUGUGCGCAUCAACAAUCAGACAGUGACUGUAACCGGCAAAGAUAAAAGCUGUCUGUUUCACGCUUUAGCACGAGGCAUAAAACCAGAGGCCAGUGAAGAAGAGAUCACUUUGGAAGCAGGACGCCUCCGAUCUGUGGAGGCUGACACUCUCCUGAAAUACCCAGGCCAAUGGGAGCCUUUUGUCAGACGCAAAGAGUGGACAGAUGCAAUCAGAGGAGGUGAUUGGUACAUGGCAGAGGGAGCUGCACCAAGAAAGAAAAUAAAAGAAACCAAAAAGCUGCUUGAGAAAGAGGUCGGAAAAGUGAAGAAGUACAAAGAAUGGCAAAAAUAUUCUUCAGAGUUAGAGUACAAAAUUGGACAUGUCAUCAAUGCAGAUCACCAACCACCAGUGAGUAGUAUAGUGCAAUCUAGAAAACUGAACCAGAACAGCAAAUUAGCUGAAGCCAUGCUUGAAGUGGCAACAAACUCACGUCCUCUGGAUACCAAUCUGAUUCCAAAUGUGAAAACAUAUCAUGGCCGUGAACUUCCAACUGUAUAUGUGCCAGCUGAAGUACAUCAUGAGUUUCUUAGUACAAAAACAAAAACAUUCAGGGACUUACUGGCUAAUAAAAUAAGCCAGGAUGAUGUUGUGGGCACCUUCAAACUGACCAUUCUAGGUGCAAUACCCAGAUUCAUGUUAAACAGUGUCAAGAACUUCAACAACUUUACCAACAACCAAAUGAGUAAAACCAGGCUUGACACUUUUGAAAAAAGUUUUCCACAGCAUUCUAAAGAUUUGGUACAAAAAUGGUUCAACCAGCUUAAAGGCAAGGGUGUCAUGACACAGGCUGAUCUCAACACCCUUACUGACUGGAUCAACAAGAAGGGCUACGAGGAUCAAAACGAUCCACACUGGAAUGAAGUCUCUGAUCUUUUCUAAUGCAAAGUGGAAUACUGACACCUGACAAUAUGGUUUGCAAAGAAGCACAAGGAGGACCAUGGAGAGUUGAUUACUUAAGUCAACUGCAUGCUGCAUUGGAGGUCACUUCUAUUAUAUAAUGCAUUAGUUUUACUGCUAAGAAUAAUAACAACAAUCAAAUCAAACAACAUCAAUCAAAGCAUAAAAAAAUGAUUCUAGAGACAUGUUCCACUUAAAAACUUGGUUUUCCUUGUAAUUAUUUUUAAUUUCCUUUUUUCUUUUCGUGAAGCAUUUUGUGACUAUACGAAAAGUGCUAUAUAAACAAAGUUUUUAAAUCUCAUUACCCAAAUAAUCUUAAGGAAACAUAACCAAUCAAUGAUAUCAAUUACAAAUUGAUUUGAUGUAUUUUAAAGCCAUACAUUUUUUUGACUGUACUAAACAGAUUUGUUCUUUUUAUUGUUUUUAAUGACAUAGUCAAGAUGGAGAUGAAAUGGUAGAAGACAGAGAGGCUGUUUUAGUUAUAAGUGGUUUGUGUUCUUGUUUUGUUUCUGACAUGAUGUAAAUACAUUAAUGACUUAAUUUGUCAUGUUUUCUUUUAGUUGUCACACUUGGCAGAUGUUUGAUCUUUCUUUUUAUCUUUGUAACUUUGAGUGGCGUUUGUGCUCCUUUGUUCCUGGUAAGGUGUGAGGGAUGUGGCACUGGACAGUGACCGUGGUAACUCUCACUGUUGGACUUAUUAUCCAAUGGACCUAAAACCCUGUUUAACCAAUUAUCCAACUGUACACCUGGUCUAGGUUGAUUGUAAUUGUUUGCCUCUGUCUUUGUUCACGUUUCCUCUGAUGACGACACAAUAGUGUUGAAAAUGUCUGUUUGCAAUAUUAAAGGCUUUAAACAUUAA